AUUGAACGCUGGCGGCAGGCCUAACACAUGCAAGUAGAGCGAGCGGCGGACGGGUGAGUAAUGUCUGGGAAACUGCCUGAUGGAGGGGGAUAACUACUGGAAACGGUAGCUAAUACCGCAUACCAUCAGAUGUGCCCAGAUGGUAUUAGUUAGUAGGUGGGGUAACGGCUCACCUAGGCGACGAUCCCUAGCUGGUGUCAGAGGAUGACCAGCCAUACUCGAACGCAUCCACGUGCCAAACACCUACGGGAGGCACCUGUGGGGAAUAUGGCACAAUGGCCGCAAGCCUGAGGCAGCCAUGCCGCGUGGGUUAAGAAGGCGUUCGGGUUGCAAAGCACUUUCAGCGUGGAGGCGUUACCCGCAGAAGAAGCACCGGCUAACCCCGUGCCAGCAGCCGCGGUAAUUC
rnacentral:rRNA from 1 species